rnacentral:rRNA from 1 species
GUGGGACCCCAGGAUGGGCGGGGUGACCCGCUGAGUUUAAGCAUAUCAAUAAGCGGAGGAGAAGAAACUUACGAGGAUUCCCCUA